rnacentral:rRNA from 1 species
UACGUAGGGUGCAAGCGUUGUCCGGAAUUAUUGGGCGUAAAGAGCUCGUAGGCGGUCUGUCGCGUCGGCUGUGAAAACCCGGAGCUCAACUCCGGGCCUGCAGUCGAUACGGGCAAACUGGAGUGUUGCAGGGGGAGACUGGAAUUCCUGGUGUAGCGAUGAAAUGCGCAGAUAUCAGGAGGAACACCGAUGGCGAAGGCAGGUCGUCUGGGCCACUACUGACGCUGAGAAGCGAAAGCAUGGGGAGCGAACAGG